rnacentral:rRNA from 1 species
UACUAUGGCUGUGCACCUGAAUGUGCCUGAUCUCAUCUGAUCUUGGAAGCUAAGCAGGGUCGAGCCUGGUUAAUACUUGGAUGGGAGGCUAUCUAGGAAUACCAGGUGCUGUAGGUA